AUCCCUGUUGAUCCACCCGCUUAUUUUGCAACGCCCACUUUCAGACACCAAGUCUACAGUUAACCAAACAUUGUACCGUUUCGUUGUUGCUGGCAAAAAAAUACAUAUAGAAAGCGCAAAGAACUUUGCGGCCAGUAUCUUAACAUUUUAAUCAAUUAACUAUCAUUUACACCUACAUCAUUUUUUAAUACAUUUCCAAGGACCUGAGCCCUAGGACCACCUGGCAUGAUGACUCCCUGCUGUCCCCAGUCCACCUGGCCGUGCUGCUGCUCCAGUUUCAACUGUUCUGCCUGCGGCUAUGGAAUCCUGACCUGUUCACCGGACAUGCUACCUGUCCCAGACCUGCUGUUUUCAAAUCUGUAGAGACAGCAGGAGUGGUAGAGAUACUCUUAAUGAUCGUCUAUGAAACGCCAACUGACAUUUACUCUUGAGGUGCUGACUUGCUGCACCCUCGACAAGUACUGUGAUUAUUGUUAUUUGACCAUGCUGGUCAUUUAUGAACAUUUGAACAUCUUGGCCAUGUUCUGUUAUAAUUUCCACCCGGCACAGCCAGAAGAGGACUGGCCACCCCUCAUAGCCUGGUUCCUCUCUAGGUUUCUUCCUAGGUUUUGGCCUUUCUAGGGAGUUUUUCCUAGCCACUGUGCUUCUACACCUGCAUUGCUUGCUGUUUGGGGUUUUAGGCUGGGUAUCUGUACAGCACUUUGAGAUAUCAGCUUAUGUACGAAGGGCUAUAUAAAUAUAUUUGAUUUGAUUUGA